CAGAUAUGAUGCAUAUGUACUUUUCCUGAAUUACUCAUGAGGGUAAAAAUACUGAUUUAAUGAGGCUGAUCU